UGGGGAAUAUUGCACAAUGGGGGAAACCCUGAUGCAGCGACGCCGCGUGAGUGAAGAAGUAUUUCGGUAUGUAAAGCUCUAUCAGCAGGAAAGAAAAUGACGGUACCUGACUAAGAAGCCCCGGCUAACUACGUGCCAGCAGCCGCGGUAAUACGUAGGGGGCAAGCGUUAUCCGGAUUUACUGGGUGUAAAGGGAGCGUAGACGGUUGUGCAAGUCUGAAGUGAAAUCCCGGGGCUCAACUCCGGAACUGCUUUGGAAACUGUAUAACUAGAGUGCAGGAGAGGUAAGUGGAAUUCCUAGUGUAGCGGUGAAAUGCGUAGAUAUUAGGAGGAACACCAGUGGCGAAGGCGGCUUACUGGACUGUAACUGACGUUGAGGCUCGAAAGCGUGGGGAGCAAACAGGAUUAGAUACCCUGGUAGU
rnacentral:rRNA from 1 species